GCGGGUGUAGCUCAGUGGUAGAGCACCUCCUUGCCAAGGAGGAUGUCGCGCGUUCGAACCGCGUCACCCGCU
rnacentral:tRNA from 1 species